AACGAACGCUGGCGGCAGGCUUAACACAUGCAAGUCGAACGCAUCCCAAGAUGAGUGGCAGACGGGUGAGUAACGCGUGGGAACAUACCCUUUUCUACGGAAUAGCUCUGGGAAACUGGAAUUAAUACCGUAUACGCCCUACGGGGGAAAGAUUUAUCGGGGAAGGAUUGGCCCGCGUUGGAUUAGGUAGUUGGUGGGGUAAAGGCCUACCAAGGCGACGAUCCAUAGCUGGUCUGAGAGGAUGAUCAGCCACAUUGGGACUGAGACACGGCCCAAACUCCUACGGGAGGCAGCAGUGGGGAAUAUUGGACAAUGGGCGCAAGCCUGAUCCAGCCAUGCCGCGUGAGUGAUGAAGGCCUUAGGGUUGUAAAGCUCUUUCACCGAUGAAGAUAAUGACGGUAGUCGGAGAAGAAGCCCCGGCUAACUUCGUGCCAGCCGCCGCCGUAAUAC
rnacentral:rRNA from 1 species